rnacentral:rRNA from 1 species
GUGAAUUGCAGAAUCCCGCGAACCAUCAAUUCUUUGAACGCAAGUUGCGCCCGAAGCCAUUCGGCCGAGGGCACGCCUGCCUGGGCGUCGUGA